rnacentral:rRNA from 1 species
UACGAAGGGGGCUAGCGUUGUUCGGAAUUACUGGGCGUAAAGCGCACGUAGGCGGACUAUUAAGUCAGGGGUGAAAUCCCGGGGCUCAACCCCGGAACUGCCUUUGAUACUGGUAGUCUCGAGUCCGGAAGAGGUGAGUGGAAUUCCGAGUGUAGAGGUGAAAUUCGUAGAUAUUCGGAGGAACACCAGUGGCGAAGGCGGCUCACUGGACCGGACUAGUUGACGCUGAGUGAGCGAAAGCCAGGGGAGCAAACGGG